GCUGGACGUGCCGAGCACGCGGGACUCGAAGACGCCGGGCAAGAGCCUAAGCGGCCAGGUACUCGACCACACAGCGCAAAAGAAAUUCAGAAUCUCAAGGAACUGUGCUUUUCCUAUCACAUCGGCAGGAAUUCAAUAACAAUGACAAUGUACUCGGUGCGUUCAAGGAACGGUGGAAGCUGCAUCUUCUUUCUCUGCUGGUGCAUAGCUAGGAAUAUCUAGUCUGAACGUUGGUCAGUUGUGGCUGCAUCCCUCUUGAGAGCUGAGAUGCUGAGAUGUGCUUUACAGGGUCAUCACGUAUACGGCACACACACCCCACACCCACCUCUCGCUCCUGCUCUGUUGCCAACCUUUCCCGCAGAGGACUCUGCCGUCCACAGAAGGACAUUAGAAGCCUGAUGAAUGGAAGGACCAGGAUAUAUUUCAAGACUAGAUUGUCUCUUUAAGGCUUAAAACAAUCUGAGAAGUAUCCCUGACCCUCUGGGAUUACCAAGAAAUUCAACAGAGAGAAACAUAAGUGAACCACAAAGAAGUUCAAAGAAUGUGAAUUUCCAA